rnacentral:rRNA from 1 species
GACGAACGCUGGCGGCGUGCUUAACACAUGCAAGUCGAACGGGCCUGUCUUCUUUUUUGGGGGGUGGGUUGAGUGGCGAACGGGUGAGUAUCACGUGAGUAACCUGCCCUUCGGUCCUGGAUAACCGCUUGAAAGGGCGGCUAAUACGGGGUGGUCCGGUUGGUCCGCAUGGGCUGGUCGGGAUAGAUUCACUGUUUUUGGUGUUUCGGCGGGGGAUGGGCUCGCGGCCUAUCAGCUUGUUGGUGGGGUGAUGGCCUACCAAGGUGGUGACGGGUAGCCGGCCUGAGGGGGUGGGCGGCCACACUGGGACUGAGAUACGGCCCAGACUCCUGCGGGAGGCAGCAGUGGGGGGUAUUGCACAAUGGGCGGAAGCCUGAUGCAGCGACGUCGCGUGAGGGAUGGAGGCCUUCGGGUUGUGAACCUCUGUUUCCGGUGGUGAAGGCCCUGUCCGUGUGGUGGGGUUGACGGUAGCCGGGGAUGAAGCGCCGGCUAACUACGUG